rnacentral:rRNA from 1 species
UGGAAUGAGUAGCGAGAGAUAGGUGAGAAUCCUAUCGGCCGAAUAUCUAAGGUUUCCAGAGUAAAGCUGAUCUGCUCUGGGUAAGUCGGGGCCUAAGGCGAGGUCGAAAGACGUAGUCGAUGGAUAACAGGUUGAGAUACCUGUACUUCAUGAUAUCAGAAAUGUGGGGACACAGAAGCGAAGCACAAGCCGGGAAUGGAAAGACCGGUGCAAGCUAAGGAGCAGUAUGAGAGGCAAAUCCCUCAUAUAAUGCGAGAGAGUGAAGCGUAGCGAACAUAAGGGUAGCGAAGUGUGUAGAGAGGCUGUCAGGAAAAGCCGCUAUUGUGUAUCAUGAACCCGUACCGUAAACCGACACAGGUGGAUGAGGAGAGAAUCCUAAGGCCGACGGAAGAAGCAUUGUUAAGGAAUUCGGCAAAAUGACCCCGUAACUUCGGGAGAAGGGGUGCCUGCGCAAGCAGGUCGCAGAGAAUUGGCCCAAGCAACUGUUUAGCAAAAACACAGGUUUAUGCGAAACCGAAAGGUGAAGUAUAUGAGCUGACGCCUGCCCGGUGCUGGAAGGUUAAGGGGAGUGCUUAGACUUUAGUCGAAGGUGCGAACUUAAGCCCCAGUAAACGGCGGCCGUAACUAUAACGGUCCUAAGGUAGCGAAAUUCCUUGUCGGGUAAGUUCCGACCCGCACGAAAGGCGUAAUGAUUUGGGCGCUGUCUCGACAAUGCAUCCGGUGAAAUUGAAGUACCAGUGAAGAUGCUGGUUACCCGCGCCAGGACGGAAAGACCCCAUGGAGCUUUACUCUAGUUUGAUGCUGGGAUUCGAUACUGCAUGUACAGGAUAGGCGGGAGACUGAGAAGUAGUGACGUCAGUUGCUACAGAGUCGCUGUUGGGAUACCGCCCCUGCAGUAUUGGGUUUCUAACCUGCGGCCGUAAGCCGGUCGGGGGACAACGUCAGGCGGGGAGUUUGACUGGGGCGGUCGCCUCCGAAAGGGUAUCGGAGGCGCUCAAAGGUUCCCUCAGAAUGGUCGGAAACCAUUCGAAGAGUGCAAAGGCAGAAGGGAGCUUGACUGCGAGACCGACGGGUCGAGCAGGUACGAAAGUAGGACUUAGUGAUCCGGUGGUAUGAAAGUGGGAUUGCCAUCGCUCAACGGAUAAAAGCUACCCUGGGAUAACAGGCUUAUCACUCCCAAGAGUUCACAUCGACGGAGUGGUUUGGCACCUGGAUGUCGGCUCAUCGCAUCCUGGGGCUGUAGCAGGUCCCAAGGGUUGGGCUGUUCGCCCAUUAAAGCGGUACGCGAGCUGGGUUCAGAACGUCGUGAGACAGUUCGGUCCCUAUCCGGCGCGGGCGUAGGAUAUCUGAAAGGAGCUGGCCUUAGUACGAGAGGACCGGGCUGGACGAACCGCUGGUUCACCUGUUGUCAUACCAAUGGCAUAGCAGGGUAGCCAAGUUUGGAAGGGAUAAACGCUGAAGGCAUCUAAGCGUGAAGCCCCCUUUAAGAUAAGAUAUCCCUGGAGUAAUCCAGUAAGACCCCUUGAAGACGACGAGGUAGAUAGGGCAGAGGUGGAAGUGUGGUAACACAUGCAGCUGACUGUCACUAAUAGGUCGAGGGCUUGAUC